rnacentral:rRNA from 1 species
ACUCCUACGGGAGGCAGCAGUGGGGAAUAUUGCACAAUGGGGGAAACCCUGAUGCAGCCAUGCCGCGUGUGUGAAGAAGGCCUUCGGGUUGUAAAGCACUUUCAGUAGGGAGGAAGGUAGUGUAGUUAACACCUGCAUUAUUUGACGUUACCUACAGAAGAAGCACCGGCUAACUCCGUGCCAGCAGCGCGGCUGAACGUGAUCGGAGGGUGCGAGUCGUAUCGAUNGUAAUUGACCUUGGGGGCCGGUUAAAAGGCCGGCCAAUGGCAGGCGGCCUGUUAAGUCAGAUGUGAAGCCCGGGCUUAACCUCGGAAUUGCAUUGAACUGGCAGGCUAGAGUCUUGUAGAGGGGGUAGAA